rnacentral:rRNA from 1 species
GACGAACGCUGGCGGCGUGCUUAACACAUGCAAGUCGAACGGGCCUGUCUUCUUUUUUGGGGGUGGGUUGAGUGGCGAACGGGUGAGUAUCACGUGAGUAACCUGCCCUUCGGUCCUGGAUAACCGCUUGAAAGGGCGGCUAAUACGGGGUGGUCCGGUUGGUCCGCAUGGGCUGGUCGGGAUAGAUUCACUGUUUUUGGUGUUUCGGCGGGGGAUGGGCUCGCGGCCUAUCAGCUUGGUGGUGGGGUGAUGGCCUACCAAGGCGGUGACGGGUAGCCGGCCUGGGGGGGUGGGCGGCCACACUGGGACUGAGAUACGGCCCAGACUGCUGCGGGAGGCAGCAGUGGGGGGUAUUGCACAAUGGGCGGAAGCCUGAUGCAGCGACGUCGCGUGAGGGAUGGAGGCCUUCGGGUUGUGAACCUCUGUUUCCGGUGGUGAAGGCCCUGUCCGUGUGGUGGGGUUGACGGUAGCCGGGGAUGAAGCGCCGGCUAACUACGUG